rnacentral:rRNA from 1 species
UAAUAAAUAAUUUUAUAUUAAGUUUUCCCGAAUUUAGAAGAGUAAAAAGUUUAUAUAUUUUAUUGUUGCAUAAAUAUUUAUAAUAAAUUUUUUGUAAUGAGAUGUUAGUCGUUUCUAGAGUUAUCUGGUUUUUUAAGAAACAAAUUUAAUUUGUUUGGAUUUAUUGAUUAUUUUAUUAGUUAAUAUAAUUUUUUUUCUUUUUAAUUUAUUAGGGGAUAAGCUUUAAUUUAAAUGGUAAAAAGAUUGAAUGUAAUUAUGAUUUUAUAGGAUUAGAAGUUUCUUUUAUUAGGAGUGUGUUAUUACAGGAUUUAUAUUUAAUAUUAUUUUUAUAUUUUUUAGUUUUAUAUUAAAAUGUUUAAUUUAGUUUUGAAAUUAGUGAUAUUAUGAUUAAAUUAGUAUAAUUUAAUGUGUUUUUAGGUUAGUUCGUGGAUUUAGAAAAAUGAAUUUGGCAAUUAUUUUUUCGCCUGUUUAUUAAAAACAUGGCUUUUUGAAAAUUAUUUAAGGUCGGACCUGCCCACUGAGUUAUUAAAGGGCCGCGGUAUUAUGACCGUGCAAAGGUAGCAUAAUCAUUAGUUUCCUGAUUAGGAAUUGGAAUGAAUGGUUUGACGAGAAAAAUACUUUUUCUUUUUGAAUGAUUAUAAUUUUAUUUUUAAGUUAAAAAGCUUAAAUUUUGUUAAGGGACGAGAAGACCCUAUAGAGUUUUAUAUUUUUAAUUUGUUUGUUAGUUUAGUUUAUUUUUAUAUUAAUUGUUAAAUUUAUUUGGCUGGGGUGAUUGGAAAAUUUAAUUAACUUUUCUUUUUGUUUAACAUUUAUGUAUGGGUACAUGAUCCGUGGUUUGCGAUUAUAAGAUUAAAUUACCUUAGGGAUAACAGCGUAAUUAUUUAUGAGAGUUCAUAUCGAAUAAAUGGUUUGCGACCUCGAUGUUGGAUUAAAAUUUGCUGUUGGCGAAGAAGUUAUAGGGCUGGGUCUGUUCGACCUAUAAAAUUUU